UACGUAGGUGGCGAGCGUUGUCCGGAUUUAUUGGGUUUAAAGGGUGCGUAGGCGGCUUUGCAAGUCAGUGGUGAAAUACUCCAGCUUAACUGGAGGGGUGCCAUUGAUACUGCGGAGCUUGAGUACAGAUGAGGUAGGCGGAAUUGACGGUGUAGCGGUGAAAUGCAUAGAUAUCGUCAAGAACACCGAUAGCGAAGGCAGCUUACUGGGCUGUAACUGACGCUGAUGCACGAAAGUGUGGGGGAUCAAACAGG
rnacentral:rRNA from 1 species